rnacentral:tRNA from 1 species
GGACGAUUAGCUCAGUUGGUAGAGCGUUCCGGUCACAUCGGAAAGGUCAAAGGUUCGAGCCCUUUAUCGUCCACCA